rnacentral:rRNA from 1 species
AUGCUCCUCUUCUUCAAUGACAUCCUCAUGUUCAGUAAGACGCUGCGCGGCCACAUCAAUCAUAUGCGACAAGUACUGCAACUUUUGCGCCAAGAUCAAUCGCGUGUGAAGAUGUCCAAGUGUGAGUUCGGCCAGCAUAGCCUAUCGUACCUUGGGCACGUCAUCAGCAACCAGGGGGUGUCCACGGAACUAGCCAAGAUACGAGCUGUAUCCAACUGGACGAUACCAACUGACGUCAAAGCACUACGCAGCUUCUUGGGACUCGCCGAAUACUAUCGGCGAUUUGUCAGAAACUUUGAGAUCAUAGCUCGCCCUCUGUUCAACCUGCUGAAGAAAGGGGUGCCGUUUGUGUGGAAACCCGCUACAGAAACAGCCUUCCAACUGCUUAAGCAACAUCUGAUCGAAGCCCCGGUCCGGGGAUUGGGGCGAUACUGCAACAUGAUGGCCACUCGAUUGCAUAUAUGA